CACAGACAAGUAGAUAGAAAUUACGAGAACUUGUCAGGGCAACACACUGAAAAGCCUAGACAUCAUAGACAACACUUGGAAAGUGAAGGAUAUGAUGGGAAAUAUUUUUACAUUUCUUUAGACUGUGAUGCAACUGCCAUGACCGUCACUGCCCGUAGUCCAGAUCCCUUUCGCGGAAGAAUUUUCAUCAAGGAUCAUGGUCAAAAACCUGGUUGCCAGAUGACCGGAGGAGGCGCGUUUGAGGGUUCACUGAGCAUACCUUACAACAAUCCAAAUUGUGGUGUGGUUGAUUUGGGUAACGGUACCUUGAUGACAAAGGUUGUCAUCCAACGUCACUCACAUAUUAUGAUGAAGGACGACGUGUCUUACAAGUUGUUAUGCUCUUUUGACACCAAAGAUAC